rnacentral:rRNA from 1 species
AUUGAACGCUGGCGGCAGGCUUAACACAUGCAAGUCGAGCGGGGGAAGGUGCUUGCACCUUAUCUUAGCGGCGGACGGGUGAGUAAUGCUUAGGAAUCUGCCUAUUAGUGGGGGACAACAUUCCGAAAGGAAUGCUAAUACCGCAUACGCCCUACGGGGGAAAGCAGGGGAUCUUCGGACCUUGCGCUAAUAGAUGAGCCUAGGUCGGAUUAGCUAGUUGGUGGGGUAAAGGCCUACCAAGGCGACGAUCUGUAGCGGGUCUGAGAGGAUGAUCCGCCACACUGGGACUGAGACACGGCCCAGACUCCUACGGGAGGCAGCAGUGGGGAAUAUUGGACAAUGGGGGGAACCCUGAUCCAGCCAUGCCGCGUGUGUGAAGAAGGCCUUUUGGUUGUAAAGCACUUUAAGCGAGGAGGGGGCUACCGAGAUUAAUACUCUUGGAUAGUGGACGUUACUCGCAGAAUAAGCACCGGCUAACUACGUGCCAGCCGCCGCAGUAAUAC